rnacentral:rRNA from 1 species
UACGUAGGGGGCAAGCGUUGUUCGGAAUUACUGGGCGUAAAGGGCGCGUAGGCGGCACGGCAAGUCGGGAGUGAAAGCCCGGGGCUCAACCCCGGAGGGUCUCUCGAAACUGCCGAGCUAGAGUGCGGAAGAGGCAAUCGGAAUUCCCAGUGUAGCGGUGAAAUGCGUAGAUAUUGGGAAGAACACCGGAGGCGAAGGCGGAUUGCUGGGCCGACACUGACGCUGAGGCGCGAAAGCUAGGGGAGCGAACAGG